UACGUAGGUGACCAGCGUUGUCCGGAUUUACUGGGCGUAAAGAGCGCGCAGGCGGUCGUUCAAGUCGAGUGUGAAAGCCCCCGGCUCAACUGGGGAGGGUCAUUCGAUACUGAUCGACUUGAAGGCAGGAGAGGGAAGUGGAAUUCCCGGUGUAGUGGUGAAAUGCGUAGAUAUCGGGAGGAACACCGGUGGCGAAGGCGGCGACCUGGGACAAUACUGACGCUGAGGUGCGAAAGCGUGGGGAGCAAACAGG
rnacentral:rRNA from 1 species